rnacentral:rRNA from 1 species
GUAAUGUGUGUAGCUAACCGAUACUAAUAGCUCGAUUGGUUUACUUUGCUGUGAGAUUACAUAUGCAUAUAGUGUUAAUGUUAUAAGAGUGUAGUAUCUACUCACAAAGUUAUCAGGUUAAAUAGUUUUAUCAACUAAUAAAAAUGUUAUUGCAUAACUAAUGUUAUAUACUGUAGCCCUGCCACGAUAUCCAGCGAGAAUUAUUUUGCUGAGUAUCGUAGUAAAAGUUAAGAUAUGAUGUUGAGAAUUUUUUUGAGUCGUGCAACAACAUUAACAGCAAACUAUAAUACAAAUC